rnacentral:misc_RNA from 1 species
GUCAAAGUGACACUCAGUUUAUCCAACAAGUCCUCUGUCUGUAGAGCUGAUGCCUGGAAACCUUCAGCGGCAUAACUGUCAAUCCACUUCUCGUAUGGAUGAUUUUUCUCUCCCUCAAGACACACUUGCAGCUCCUUACCAAUGUAGGCAUAAAGUCUCAUGCAAGGUGUCAUAGCACCUAGAGUAUAAGCAGCCAACUUUGUUUUCUCAAAUG